UACGUAGGGUGCAAGCGUUAAUCGGAAUUACUGGGCGUAAAGCGCGCGUAGGCGGACCUGCAAGUCGGGGGUGAAAGCCCGAGGCUCAACCUCGGAACUGCCUUCGAUACUGCGGGUCUCGAGUCCGGGAGAGGUGAGUGGAAUUCCUAGUGUAGAGGUGAAAUUCGUAGAUAUCAGGAGGAAUACCAGUGGCGAAGGCGGCUUUCUGGGCCUACCCUGACGCUGAGGAGCGAAAGCGUGGGGAGCAAACCGG
rnacentral:rRNA from 1 species